rnacentral:lncRNA from 1 species
UGAUUUCUUGGGGGUUGUAAAGCCUCUUUCUUCAGCAGAAUGCUCCCCUGUCCAGCCACCUCUACUCUUUGAUUUCUUUGGGGCUGUAAAGCCUCUUUCUUCUGUAGGGAGCUCCAUUGUCCAGCCACCUCUACUUUUUGAUUUCUUAGGUGUUGUAUAGCUUCUUUCUUCUGUAGGAAACUCCGUCAUCCAGCCACCUCUCCUCUUUGAUUUCUUAGGUGUUGUAAAGCCUCUUUCGUCUGUAUGAGGCCGUUUCUUUUUGUGCGUCUUACCCAUAUCGAGAGGUGCAGACCAAUGUCCCGUGUACUCAUUUUCUUUCAAGGAUUUUCUAUUUUUUGUGUUCGAGAAUUCACUAUUCUUCUUCCCAG